AGAAGGGGCUAAGUUACAGGAGGAGCUAAUAAUGGAGAAGGGAGCAGUGUAUUCUCCUCUAAAAAUUAAAGGGCCAGUGCAAGAAAGAAAAUCUGGUGAUAGCGACCCCUGCAGGAUUCGUGAGGCAAGAACGAAAAGGUUCAGUAAAACUUUCUCACCAUCUCCAAUAAAGAGCAAGAAGAGGAUGUGGAAACAGAGCAGAAAAUACGAACAAAAGAAGAGUAAAGAGGCUGAGGACAGACCUAGGCUAUUCGAAGAAAG